rnacentral:rRNA from 1 species
AUUGAACGCUGGCGGCAUGCCUUACACAUGCAAGUCGAACGGUAACAGGUCUUCGGAUGCUGACGAGUGGCGAACGGGUGAGUAAUACAUCGGAACGUGCCCGAGAGUGGGGGAUAACGAGGCGAAAGCUUUGCUAAUACCGCAUACGAUCUCAGGAUGAAAGCAGGGGACCGCAAGGCCUUGCGCUCACGGAGCGGCCGAUGGCAGAUUAGGUAGUUGGUGGGAUAAAAGCUUACCAAGCCGACAGUCUGUAGCUGGUCUGAGAGGACGACCAGCCACACUGGGACUGAGACACGGCCCAGACUCCUACGGGAGGCAGCAGUGGGGAAUUUUGGACAAUGGGCGCAAGCCUGAUCCAGCCAUGCCGCGUGCAGGAUGAAGGCCUUCGGGUUGUAAACUGCUUUUGUACGGAACGAAAAGACUCUGGUUAAUACCUGGGGUCCAUGACGGUACCAUAAGAAUAAGCACCGGCUAACUACGUGCCAGCCGCCGCCGUAACAC